rnacentral:rRNA from 1 species
AGAAUCAACGCUGGCGGCGUGCCUAACACAUGCAAGUCGCACGAGAAAGGGUAGCAAUACCUGAGUACAGUGGCGCACGGGUGAGUAACACGUGACUAACCUACCCUCGAGUGGGGAAUAACCUAGGGAAACCUGGGCUAAUACCGCAUAACACUUACGAGUCAAAGCAGCAAUGCGCUUGGGGAGGGGGUCGCGGCCGAUUAGCUAGUUGGCGGGGUAAUGGCCCACCAAGGCAAUGAUCGGUAUCCGGCCUGAGAGGGCGCACGGACACACUGGAACUGAAACACGGUCCAGACUCCUACGGGAGGCAGCAGUGGGGAAUUUUGCGCAAUGGGGGAAACCCUGACGCAGCAACGCCGCGUGGAGGAUGAAGUCUCUUGGGACGUAAACUCCUUUCGAUUGGGAAGAUAAUGACGGUACCAAUAGAAGAAGCCCCGGCUAACUUCGCGCCAGCAGCCGC